ACCGCGUUAACCAUUUUUUAAGCUUUCUGGACGAUAACCGGAGCUGUCCAGCCUUCUGGAUGUCGAGUGGUCUCUGUCCACUCUGUUUGAUGCCUCCCUGUACGACUCAUCGCCGCCCUCCGGGGCGGCUUUCUUUUU
rfam:Methylobacterium sp. 4-46, complete genome.